GAGCGCUUUGAAGGAUGAAGUGGAGCUGGUUGGUCUUCCCUUGACCUCCUGUGUCUCAUUCCAGUGCAAGAUGAACUCCCUUCGAGCAGAAGGGCCAGGCCUUCUCCCCAUGGUCUGUCCCUUUCGAUAGUUGGGUACAAAU
rnacentral:snoRNA from 1 species